rnacentral:rRNA from 1 species
GCGAACGCUGGCGGCAGGCUUAACACAUGCAAGUCGAGCGGGCAUAGCCAUAUGUCAGCGGCAGACGGGUGAGUAACGCGUGGGAACGUACCUUUUGGUUCGGAACAACUGAGGGAAACUUCAGCUAAUACCGGAUAAGUCCUUACGGGGAAAGAUUUAUCGCCGAAAGAUCGGCCCGCGUCUGAUUAGCUAGUUGGUGAGGUAAUGGCUCACCAAGGCGACGAUCAGUAGCUGGUCUGAGAGGAUGAUCAGCCACAUUGGGACUGAGACACGGCCCAAACUCCUACGGGAGGCAGCAGUGGGGAAUAUUGGACAAGGAGCGCAAGCCUGAUCCAGCCAUGCCGCGUGAGUGAUGAAGGCCCUAGGAUUGUAAAGCUCUUUUGUGCGAGAAGAUAAUGACGGUACCGCGAGAAUAAGCCCCGGCUAACUUCGUG